rnacentral:rRNA from 1 species
AUAAUGGGUCAGCGACUUAUAUUCUGUAGCAAGGUUAACCGAAUAGGGGAGCCGAAGGGAAACCGAGUCUUAACUGGGCGUUAAGUUGCAGGGUAUAGACCCGAAACCCGGUGAUCUAGCCAUGGGCAGGUUGAAGGUUGGGUAACACUAACUGGAGGACCGAACCGACUAAUGUUGAAAAAUUAGCGGAUGACUUGUGGCUGGGGGUGAAAGGCCAAUCAAACCGGGAGAUAGCUGGUUCUCCCCGAAAGCUAUUUAGGUAGCGCCUCGUGAAUUCAUCUCCGGGGGUAGAGCACUGUUUCGGCAAGGGGGUCAUCCCGACUUACCAACCCGAUGCAAACUGCGAAUACCGGAGAAUGUUAUCACGGGAGACACACGGCGGGUGCUAACGUCCGUCGUGAAGAGGGAAACAACCCAGACCGCCAGCUAAGGUCCCAAAGUCAUGGUUAAGUGGGAAACGAUGUGGGAAGGCCCAGACAGCCAGGAUGUUGGCUUAGAAGCAGCCAUCAUUUAAAGAAAGCGUAAUAGCUCACUGGUCGAGUCGGCCUGCGCGGAAGAUGUAACGGGGCUAAACCAUGCACCGAAGCUGCGGCAGCGACGCUGAUGCGUUGUUGGGUAGGGGAGCGUUCUGUAAGCCUGCGAAGGUGUGCUGUGAGGCAUGCUGGAGGUAUCAGAAGUGCGAAUGCUGACAUAAGUAACGAUAAAGCGGGUGAAAAGCCCGCUCGCCGGAAGACCAAGGGUUCCUGUCCAACGUUAAUCGGGGCAGGGUGAGUCGACCCCUAAGGCGAGGCCGAAAGGCGUAGUCGAUGGGAAACAGGUUAAUAUUCCUGUACUUGGUGUUACUGCGAAGGGGGGACGGAGAAGGCUAUGUUGGCCGGGCGACGGUUGUCCCGGUUUAAGCGUGUAGGCUGGUUUUCCAGGCAAAUCCGGAAAAUCAAGGCUGAGGCGUGAUGACGAGGCACUACGGUGCUGAAGCAACAAAUGCCCUGCUUCCAGGAAAAGCCUCUAAGCAUCAGGUAACAUCAAAUCGUACCCCAAACCGACACAGGUGGUCAGGUAGAGAAUACCAAGGCGCUUGAG